GGGGCAUUCCUAUACAUGCAAGUAGAACGCUGAAGAGAGGAGCUUGCUCUUCUUGGAUGAGUUGCGAACGGGUGAGUAACGCGUAGGUAACCUGCCUUGUAGCGGGGGAUAACUAUUGGAAACGAUAGCUAAUACCGCAUAACAAUGGAUGACACAUGUCAUUUAUUUGAAAGGGGCAAUUGCUCCACUACAAGAUGGACCUGCGUUGUAUUAGCUAGUAGGUGAGGUAAUGGCUCACCUAGGCGACGAUACAUAGCCGACCUGAGAGGGUGAUCGGCCACACUGGGACUGAGACACGGCCCAGACUCCUACGGGAGGCAGCAGUAGGGAAUCUUCGGCAAUGGGGGCAACCCUGACCGAGCAACGCCGCGUGAGUGAAGAAGGUUUUCGGAUCGUAAAGCUCUGUUGUAAGUCAAGAACGGGUGUGAGAGUGGAAAGUUCACACUGUGACGGUAGCUUACCAGAAAGGGACGGCUAACUACGUGCCAGCAGCCGCGGUAAUACGUAGGUCCCGAGCGUUGUCCGGAUUUAUUGGGCGUAAAGCGAGCGCAGGCGGUUUGAUAAGUCUGAAGUUAAAGGCUGUGGCUCAACCAUAGUUCGCUUUGGAAACUGUCAAACUUGAGUGCAGAAGGGGAGAGUGGAAUUCCAUGUGUAGCGGUGAAAUGCGUAGAUAUAUGGAGGAACACCGGUGGCGAAAGCGGCUCUCUGGUCUGUAACUGACGCUGAGGCUCGAAAGCGUGGGGAGCGAACAGGAUUAGAUACCCUGGUAGUCCACGCCGUAAACGAUGAGUGCUAGGUGUUGGAUCCUUUCCGGGAUUCAGUGCCGCAGCUAACGCAUUAAGCACUCCGCCUGGGGAGUACGACCGCAAGGUUGAAACUCAAAGGAAUUGACGGGGGCCCGCACAAGCGGUGGAGCAUGUGGUUUAAUUCGAAGCAACGCGAAGAACCUUACCAGGUCUUGACAUCCCGAUGCUAUUUCUAGAGAUAGAAAGUUACUUCGGUACAUCGGUGACAGGUGGUGCAUGGUUGUCGUCAGCUCGUGUCGUGAGAUGUUGGGUUAAGUCCCGCAACGAGCGCAACCCCUAUUGUUAGUUGCCAUCAUUCAGUUGGGCACUCUAGCGAGACUGCCGGUAAUAAACCGGAGGAAGGUGGGGAUGACGUCAAAUCAUCAUGCCCCUUAUGACCUGGGCUACACACGUGCUACAAUGGUUGGUACAACGAGUUGCGAGUCGGUGACGGCGAGCUAAUCUCUUAAAGCCAAUCUCAGUUCGGAUUGUAGGCUGCAACUCGCCUACAUGAAGUCGGAAUCGCUAGUAAUCGCGGAUCAGCACGCCGCGGUGAAUACGUUCCCGGGCCUUGUACACACCGCCCGUCACACCACGAGAGUUUGUAACACCCGAAGUCGGUGAGGUAACCUUUUGGAGCCAGCCGCCAAGUGACAAAUUGCCUUUUUUUUUAAGUUUUUUC
rnacentral:rRNA from 1 species